rnacentral:rRNA from 1 species
UACGGAGGGAGCUAGCGUUAUUCGGAAUUACUGGGCGUAAAGCGCACGUAGGCGGCUUUGUAAGUUAGAGGUGAAAAGCCUGGAGCUCAACUCCAGAAUUGCCUUUAAGACUGCAUCGCUUGAAUCCAGGAGAGGUGAGUGGAAUUCCGAGUGUAGAGGUGAAAUUCGUAGAUAUUCGGAAGAACACCAGUGGCGAAGGCGGCUCACUGGACUGGUAUUGACGCUGAGGGUGCGAAAAGCGUGGGGGAGCAAACAG